UCUCUGCCUGUGUAAGAUUCUUUUGAUAUUUGUUUGUAUGUUUAAUUUCUUUUUUAUUUUCAAACAUACAAACAAAUAUCAAAAGAAUCUUACACAGGCAGAGA